rnacentral:rRNA from 1 species
ACAGCCGCCGCGGUAAUACGUAGGUGGCAAGCGUUGUCCGGAAUUAUUGGGCGUAAAGCGCGCGCAGGCGGUCCUUUAAGUCUGAUGUGAAAGCCCACGGCUCAACCGUGGAGGGUCAUUGGAAACUGGGGGACUUGAGUACUGAAGAGGAAAGUGGAAUUCCACGUGUAGCGGUGAAAUGCGUAGAGAUGUGGAGGAACACCAGUGGCGAAGGCGACUUUCUGGUCAGUAACUGACGCUGAGGCGCGAAAGCGUGGGGAGCAAACAGGAUUAGAUACCCUGGUAGUCCACGCCGUAAACGAUGAGUGCUAAGUGUUAGGGGGUUUCCGCCCCUUAGUGCUGCAGCUAACGCAUUAAGCACUCCGCCUGGGGAGUACGGCCGCAAGGCUGAAACUUAAAGGAAUUGGCGGGGGAU